rnacentral:rRNA from 1 species
CCUACGGGAGGCAGCAGUCGAGAAUCAUUCACAAUGGGGGAAACCCUGAUGGUGCGACGCCGCGUGGGGGAAUGAAGGUCUUCGGAUUGUAAACCCCUGUCAUGUGGGAGCAAAUUAAAAAGAUAGUACCACAAGAGGAAGAGACGGCUAACUCUGUGCCAGCAGCCGCGGGAAUACAGAGGUCUCAAGCGUUGUUCGGAAUCACUGGGCGUAAAGCGUGCGUAGGCUGUUUCGUAAGUCGUGUGUGAAAGGCGCGGGCUCAACCCGCGGACGGCACAUGAUACUGCGAGACUAGAGUAAUGGAGGGGGAAGCGGAAUUCUCGGUGUAGCAGUGAAAUGCGUAGAUAUCGAGAGGAACACUCGUGGCGAAGGCGGGUUCCUGGACAUUAACUGACGCUGAGGCACGAAGGCCAGGGGAGCGAAAGGGAUUAGAUACCCCUGUAGUC